AACGAACGCUGGCGGCAGGCCUAACACAUGCAAGUCGAGCGAGGACUUCGGUCCUAGCGGCGGACGGGUGAGUAACGCGUGGGAACGUGCCCUUUGCUUCGGAAUAGCCCUGGGAAACUGGGAGUAAUACCGGAUGAGCCCUUUGGGGGAAAGAUUUAUCGGCGAAGGAUCGGCCCGCGUUGGAUUAGGUAGUUGGUGGGGUAAUGGCCUACCAAGCCGACGAUCCAUAGCUGGUUUGAGAGGAUGAUCAGCCACACUGGGACUGAGACACGGCCCAGACUCCUACGGGAGGCAGCAGUGGGGAAUCUUAGACAAUGGGGGAAACCCUGAUCUAGCCAUGCCGCGUGAGCGAUGAAGGCCUUAGGGUUGGAAAGCUCUUUCAGCUGGGAAGAUAAUGACGGUACCAGCAGAAGAAGCCCCGGCUAACUCCGUGC
rnacentral:rRNA from 1 species